rnacentral:rRNA from 1 species
UGGGGAAUCUUGCGCAAUGGCCGAAAGGCUGACGCAGCGACGCCGCGUGUGGGAUGAAGCAUUUCGGUGUGUAAACCACUGUUGCCCGGGACGAACAGCCUGUUUCGACAGGUCUGACGGUACCGGGUGAGGAAGCACCGGCUAACUCCGUGCCAGCAGCCGCGGUAAUACGGAGGGUGCGAGCGUUGUCCGGAAUCAUUGGGCGUAAAGGGCGCGUAGGUGGCCUGCUAAGCGUGCGGUGAAAGCUCGGGGCUCAACCCCGAGUCGGCCGUGCGAACUGGUGGGCUUGAGCACUGUAGAGGCAGGCGGAAUUCCGGGUGUAGCGGUGGAAUGCGUAGAGAUCCGGAAGAACACCGGUGGCGAAGGCGGCCUGCUGGGCAGUAGCUGACACUGAGGCGCGACAGCGUGGGGAGCAAACA